rnacentral:rRNA from 1 species
UAUGUGAUCGUCUCUUGCAUAUCAAUAAGCGGAGGAAAAGAAACUAACAAGGAUUCCCCUAGUAACGGCGAGUGAAGCGGGAAGAGCUUAAAUUUGAAAUCUUAAAGGGUUUCCCUUUACGAAUUGUAGUUUAAAGAAGUGUUUUCUGUUGAGGUUUUGGUAAAAGUUCUUUGGAAUAGGACAUCAUAGAGGGUGAGAAUCCCGUAUUUGACCUUUACUUUCAACUUUGUGAUACACUUUCAAAGAGUCGGAUUGUUUGGGAAUGCAGUCCAAAAUGGGUGGUAAAUUUCAUCUAAAGCUAAAUAUUGGCGAGAGACCGAUAGCGAACAAGUACCGUGAGGGAAAGAUGAAAAGAACUUUGAAAAGAGAGUUAAACAGUACGUGAAAUUGUCAAAAGGGAAGCGUUCGACACCAGUGUUGUUUUUCUGAAAAUCAAUUAAAGAACUGUUUAUGCUAAGUUGUUUAGACUUUAUCAGCUAAUCUGCUUAGUUUUGAGCUUUUCUUUAAUGCACUUUUCAGUUAACAAGUCAACAUCAAUUUCUUUUGCUGUAAAAAAGCUUGAGGAAGGUGGCUUGAGAUUCGUCUUAAGUGUUUAUAGCCUCUUGCCUAUGCAGUCGGAGAGAUUGAGGUCUGCAGCGUAGAUCCUUCGGGGCUAAAUGCAUUUGUGCUAAGUUAUAGCAUUUUAUAGACAACUUGUUGACUAUGAUUUGUCUUGUAGCUUACUCGCUUAUGUUAUUUUACCUACGCUUAGGAUGUUGAGUAGCGACAUACGCAC